rnacentral:lncRNA from 1 species
AGGUUAACCUUUGUUUGGCUUGAAGACCAGAAAAUUAGACACUACAAGAUUGAAGACAGCUAAUUUAAGAAACAUCCACAGCAGAGACUGGCACAAGUUCUUUGAAAAGUGUCUCAGAGGUGCUGACAAGUCCUUUCAAGAUUCAAGAUCAACAAGAAGCUAUUGACUGGCUUCUCGGUCUAGCUGUGAGGCUUGAAUAUGGAGAUAAUGCUGAAAAAUACAAGGACUUAGUACCUGAUUAUGCAAAAACUGCUGACAAUGCAACUAAAAAUGCAGAACCAUUGAUCAAUUUGGAUGUAAAUAAUCCUGAUGUUAAGGCUGGUGUGAAGGCUAACCUGCUUCAGAUUCAAUGUCAUGACGAUUACCUGGUAAUGCCUAAGGCAAUUCGAAUUUUGGUUCAGGAGCACCUGACAGGAUGCAGUUGCUAAGGCAAAUCAAACAGAGGGUUUGCCUGUUGCUUUAGACAAAAUAUUAUUGGUUUUGAUGCAGGAGAUGCAGUUCUUAAUGAAGCUGCUCAAAUUCUGCAAUUACUGCAUAUAGAAGAGCUCAGAGAGCUACAGACAAAAAUUAAUGAAGCCAUAGUAGCUGUUCAGACAAUUAUUACUGAUCCAAGGACAGACCACAGACUGGGAAAAGUUGGAAGA